rnacentral:lncRNA from 1 species
GAUUGAGGUAUUGCACUAACACUAGCACCCACGUCACAUAAACCAUGAUAACAAUGAUCUCCUAUCUUAACAGAAACAAUAGGCGUGCCAACAACAUGCCUAUGUUUGUCUCUAGCAUGAGGUUUAGCAAUUCUAGCAGCAUCUUCACAGAAGUGAAUAUCAUGCCCAUCAACAUUGUCGGACAGGAGAUCUUUGAUAAUAGCAAUGCUAGGAUCAACUCUAAUUUUCUCAGGGGGUGUAGGUGUUCUAAUGUAGCCCCUACGUACCACAGUUGAAGCUUUAGAAUGAUCCUUUAUUCUAACAGGGAAAGAUGGUCUCUCAAUGUAAGCACUAGGAACAAUAGGAUCGUUAUAAGCGAUGACUUUCUCUUCAACUGGAUUGGGUUUAACUACAUUGAAUUCUAAGGGAGGAUGAUAUUUAAACCACUUCUAUUUAGGGAGAUCAAUAUGAGCAGCAAAUGAUUCACACAAUGAAGCUACUAUCUCAGAGUCAAGUCCAUAUUUAGCGCUAAAAUCACAAAAAGUAUUUGUUUCGACAAAGGAUUUAACGCAAUCAAACUUGAGAUUCAUACCUGACUCCUUACCUUCAUCAAACUCCCAAUCUUCAGAGUUGCGUUUAAUUCUUCCAAUAAAUUCCAUUUGAAGUCAAUAUCUCUCUUCAUAAAAGAACCAGUACAAGAAGUGUCAAGCAUGGUGCGAUUAUCAUGAGAAAGCCGAGCAUAGAAGUUCUGAAUGAUAAUUUCUCUCGAGAGCUCAUGGUUGGGGCAUGAAUAUAACAUUGAUUUAAGCCUCCCACAAGCUUGAGCGAUACUUUCUCUAUCGCGAGGACAAAAAUUAUAGAAAUAAUUCGAUCACGAUGUACCAAAUGCAUAGGAUAAAACUUUUGAUGAAAUUCAAAUUUCAAUCGGUUGUAGUUCCAUGAUCCAGUAUCAUCAUAUAGCCUAUACCAUGUCAAUGCUUUAUCCCCCAAAGAUAAGGGAAAGACCUUCUUCUUGACCUCAUCCUUCAGCAAACCUGCAAGCUUAAAUAAAUCACAAACUUCAUCUACAUAGGUUAGAUGCAAGUCGGGAUGUGAUGUUCCAUCUCCUGUAAAAGGAUUAGCCAACAGUUUCUCUAGCAUACCCGAAGGAAUUUCAUAAAAAAUAAUAUCAGUAGGUGCAGCAGGUUGAGGAGCAACUUCUUGUGCUUCCGUUCGAGGUGAAUAUACCCCGAACAAGCUCCUCAAAGGAUUAGUUUCCAUAGUGACAAGCGACAAUAAAUUUCAGCACACUAUAUAAAUGUUUCCUUACCAAAUUCCACUUACCAAAGGCGCUUCACUCCCCGGCAACGGCGCCAGAAAAGAGUCUUGAUGACCCACAAGUGUAGGGGAUCUAUCAUAGUCCUUUCAAUAAGUAAGAUUGUCGAACCCAACGAGGAGCAGAAGGAACUGACAAGUGGUUUUCAGCAAGGUAUUCUUUUCAAGCACUGAAAUUAUCGGUAACAAAUAGUUGUGUGAUAAGAUGAUUCGUAGCAAGUAGCCAGUAGCAAAGGUGCAGCAAAGUGGAUAAAUCCCUUUUGUAGCAAGGGACAAGCCUGGACAAACUCUUAUAGGAGGUAAAGCGCUCCCGAGGACACAUGGGAAUUUCUGUGAAGCUAGUUUUCAUCAUGUUCAUAUGAUUCGCGUUUGCUACUUUGAUAGUUUGAUAUGUGGGUGGACCUGUGCUUGGGUGCUGCUCUUACUUGGAAAAACAUCCCACUUAUUAUUAACCCCUCUCUCAAGCAUCCGCAACCACGAAAGAAGAAUUAAGGCUAAGUCUAACCAUAACAUUAAACUAGUGGAUCCAAAUCAGCCCCUUACGAAGCAACACAUAAACUAGGGUUUAAGCUUCUGUCACUCUAGCAACCCAUCAUCUACUUAUUACUUCCCAAUGCCUUCCUCUAGGCCCAAAUAAUGAUUAAGUGUUAUGUAGUCAACGUUCACAUAACACCACUAGAGGAAAAACAACAUACAACACAUCAAAAUAUCGAACGAAUUCCAAAUUCACAUGACUACUUAUAGCAAGACUUAUCCCAUGUCCUCAGGAAGAAAAGUGACUACUCACAAAGCAUAAUUAUGUUCAUGACCAGAGAGGUAUUGAAUAGCAUCAAGGAUAUGAACAUAUAAUCUUCCACCGAGUAAUCCAACUAGCAUCAACUACAAAGAGUAAUUGACACUACUAGCAACCUUACAAGUACGAAUCGGAGUCGCGAGAUGGAGAUUGGUUACAAGAGAUGAACUAGGGUUUGGAGAUGUGAUCGUGCUGAUGAAGAUGUUGGUGGUGAUGAGUCCCCUCCGAUGAGAGGAGUGUUUGUGAUCACGAUGGCGACGAUUUCCCCCUCCGGGAGGGAAGUUUCCCUGGUAGGACGGCCCUGCCGGAGCUCUAGAUUGGUUCUGCUCAAGUUCCGCCUCGUGGCGGUGGCGAUUCCUCCCGAAAGCCUCCUCCUGAUUUUUUUCUGGAACGAAACCCUCCUUAUAGCAAAAGAUGGGAGCUAGAGGGGCAACAGGGUGCCCACAAGCCCCCUAGGUGCGACCAAGGGGUAGGCCGCGCCUAGCAGGCUUGUGGCCUCCUGGUGGCUCCCCUGUGGUACUUCUUCCGCCCAGUAUUUUUUAUAAAUUCCAAAAUAAUUCCUCGUUGAUUUUCAUGGAUUUUGGAGUUGCGCAGAAUAGUUAUCUCAAACUUGCUCCUUUUUCAGACCAGAAUUCCAGCUGCCGGCAUUCUCCCUCUUCAUGUAAACCUCAUAAAAUAAGAGAGAAAAGGCAUAAGUAUUGUACCGUGAAGUGUAAUAACAACCCAUAAAGAGAUAAAUAUCAACAUAAAAGCAUGAUGCAAAAUGGACGUAUCAGCCCCCAAUCAAGCUCCCAUGCCCUUGUUCCCUCGCCGAAGGAGCUCCGGCAACCUCGCUCCAAAAUACGGGCACGCACGACAUCUCCUCCCUCUCUGUGGUCCACGACGGACCCCCUGCACCUCCGUGGUCUCCUCGUUCUCCUCUCCUCCCUAUCCUAGUGGCCGGAGCACCACUCCUGGGGCUGCCACCGUCAACCUCCACUGCGGCCAAGGGUCUGGCGCUCUCCAACACCUUCCAGCAGGGGAGAGAAGCGCACGUGGGUGCGGCUCCGUUCCUCGAGCUUGUAGGUGGACGUGGCGCCACCAACCCUCGCUGGAGCCACCGGGGCAGGCGCCGGCUUAGGACCUGCCUCGCUCUCCCCAGCUUCUCCAUCUUGGGGCUGGAGGUAGGGGAUGACCCGAUGGCCGGGGCCCGCGUGACGGUGAGCCAGAGGCUGGGGCCACCCGUUUAAGUGGAAGCGCCCCGCGCCCGACUCCGCCUCCCUCUGGCUAAAGCGCAUUUAUCGAAGUGCGCCAUCAGCGUCACCUCUCCCUCGCACUACUGGGCUGGCCCAAGGCCUAUUUAGCGCAUUGGGCACAAUUUAACCCCUAGUAAAAACCUUUCCUUUCCUUUUUCUUUUACCAGGAAGUUCCAAAAUCCAUAGUAAAUUCAUUUCUAUUCCAAAUCUGACGUUUCAAAUUUCUAAAGGUUCCUAAUAUCAAGAUCUAUCCAGAUAUGUGCAUUGCACAUUUUUACAAAAGACUUUUGUGUGGCUUUAUUAUUCAAAUGCCCAUUUGAAUAUUUUAAACACCACGUUACAAAAAUGCUAGAGGAUUCAAGUGAACUCCAAAUGGAAUGAUUCCAAUUUCGAGAGUCUUUUAAUAUCAUGCAAUAUUUGUGAAGCAUUAGUCCACAUUUUUAUCUGGCACGUUUCUGUUGAAUUAAAUAAAUAGCUCAUUUUUUCUAUUUAUCUAAUGUUAGAAAAUCCGAGAAUAUUCAUAUCCACUCCAAAUCCAGUGAAACAACUUCCUAUAUGUUCCUAAAAUCAUGCUCUGUUAAAUGAGUGCCAACACUCAUUUUUAGCAGAAUGUUUUCUAUAGGCUUCUUAAGGAUAACCUAUUCCUCCUUUCGUCCAUUCAAAAAUCCCUGAUGGUCCAAAUAUCCUAGAGCAAGCUUCAGAUAUUUUUCUUAUGACGAGAGAGGUCCAAGAAAAAUAAAACUCCUAUUUAUAUAUCACUUUUUUUCUUCCUGCUGUGUGGCUUACUGUGAUUGUUUUCGACGAUAGUUGACGGAGUAGACAGAGAACUCGGAGUUGGACCGGAAGACCUCGAAGACCCCGAGGACUUAUGUGAGCAAAGGUAAGCAACGCUUUGACCAUGUCUGAGAAAAUGUUUUAUGCAUGACAUGUUGAAUACUUUACUCCGAUGCAUAUGAUCAUGAAUUAGUCGGUAACCCCUAGGUAGGAUGUUUCCGAUAGCUCCUCUAGAGCACUUGCAUUGAGCAUGACCCUACCAUCUAUGAGGGUCACACUGAUAAAUGUUGGAAAGUAGCAGUAGUGCUACGCAUAGGAUGAGCAUAUGCAUGAUGAUGGUAACACAAAGAUGAAAUCAAAGGUUUUUCGAAAACCCUGUCGGGUGCCACUAAUGCCCGAGGGUGUUGGUGUUGAGCUGGAUGACCACUUUGUAGUGUAGCAGAAAGGUUUUGUGUGAGUGGUUUCGGAAAUGGGAUUAGAUUUAUGAUGUGUCGACCGUCCCUACUUUACAUGUGCGACCAUGAUACCCCUUUAUGGGAUGGGGCUUUGUUGAUUACUUUGGCCGGUGCUAGAAAAGAGCCUGCAUUAGUAGUGGCGGGAGUGAUAUUGUCAAUCUCAUGACAGGGUCGUAAUAGCUAGGUUGACUAUGCCGUUUUUACGUGUUCCGGGCACACCGUUGGUCCCUGCACAGAUGAUACGGUCCAGAGUUGGUGCUCGUAAGACGUACAUCAUGUGGGCUGGGUACCAACCGAGUGGACUCUUUGUCUAGUAACGUCAGGGGAAAGGCAAUGAUCGGGUACUUACCUCGGGUAUGUUACAUACCGCGAGUCGUGGAUGACACGGAAGUUUCCCGGAUCUCGUGGGUAUAGCGUAUAACCUCUACAGAGUGUAAAACUAUUAAAAUAGACGUGUCCAUGGUCAAGGACAGUUGGGUAAUCCCGCCUAAACUACAUCCAGUCGUUUCCGCAUAAACCAAGUGUGUGUGUGUGUGUGGUUGAGAAAGAUGAUAUGGUCAAGUCCGGUGACUUGGCAUAUAGGGUGAACCUGAGGUGUUCAGUCCUCUGCAGAUAUGUUGAUAUACUCAACCUGUUCUUAUGAUUACCAUCUGCCUUAUGAUGCAUGAUUAUACCUACACUUUAGCAUGUUGCUGCAAUUAAAGAAAAACCUACUUUCCGCAAAGGCUGCUUUCUUAUGCUAGUUCAUGUUCCUUUAUUACCUUGUUGCACAUCAUGGGAUGUUUGCGAGUACAUUCAAAGUACUUAUUGGCUUGCCACUGGUUAUUUCAUUAACGAGGCAUGCGAGAACAGGAAAUGGUGAAGAGUAACUUGGUGAUGUUCUUGCGAUCUAGCAUGCUUCCCAGUCAGAAUGCCUGUAGGUUAAGUCUGAUGGCAAGGGUUCACGCUUUCGGCCAAUAUCUCCGUUAUUGGUCAAGUUUGGUGUGGUGGCCUUCAAGGCCGUAUAUAUGUAUUACUUGACCACAAUGGUCAUUUAUUGUAUCAAACAGUAUGUAUGGAUUUAAGAUUCUUGUUAAUUCGGCGAGCAUUGAUCUCUGGGAUGUAUUGUAUCAAACAGUAUGUGUUCGGUCAGCAUUGAUCUCUGGGAUCACUGAGCACGUUCAUUCGGCGAUCUCGACUCGUAAGUCGGGGUCCCCACAGAGCUGGUAUCAGAGCCAUCCUGACUGUAGGAAGCCCUUAGUUAGCAUGGACGUUAGUUAGGACAAACUGUUUUUCAGAGCUUUCAAAAGUACUUACAAAACCUGUAUCUUUCUCACCUCUCCUAAAUUUUCAAAGGAAGCAAGGUUUUUUCCCUUAGCAGUCCCACUCUUAUUCUCUUGACACUCCCUGUCUGCUUCUUCAAAACUUGCAAAUGGCCGCUAGUACCCUUAUGGCUGACCACAGGAUUACUAAAAUCCUCGUGGGUAACUCGGAAGGAAGCAACCUUUCCAAGCGAACCCAUGUAUUUGGAAGACAAGGAUGGAAACACUACGACCAGACAACACCAACAAAAGUACCUCCAUGAGGAACAAGGACAUCAAGGCCCAGAAGUUGGCGACACCCUCGAUACUGUUUGGAGUGAUGCCACCUUCACCUACAAUGAUCAGGAUAUAAUAUGUGCAGGACCAUGCUAUGCAUCGCUAAUAGAGCGACCCUGUCAAUAUAAAGGUUGUGUCCACCACCACUGGUGGAUGAAAACCUCGCCAUUUGGUCCACCUCACCUUAUUGACCAGGAAAACAGUUCUCUUCAUCCCUCCUCUAGGUAUCGAUACUGUGAUGAGCAUGACCAGGAAAACCGAACUCUAUCAUGCCUUGCUGAUGUCAUUGUAUAAAGGUUGUCCACUUGGAACCCUCGACACCUUGGAAGACAAGAAGACAAUGACAAGACUGCAAAGAUAACAGAAGACCCUGUCAACGACAGCUGUGAGGAACCACCUUUGUCGGCAGCUCCCCAGAUGUGAAGGCAUCAUGGACUCUUUUGAGCCCAACUCGAGUCGUUUUGGCAAACAAUAACAAGGGACACGACGACACCAUGAGAAGGUCCAGAAGAUUGAGCAUACUCCUCUCUGAAGCAUGCAACAAUCACGAGUGUCGAGUCCGAGAACCCCUAGGGUAGAAAGAGUUAUAAAUCCCUAUACGAAGUUGAGUCCGUGAAAUGGUCGGAUGGGACCAUGUUGUUUGAUUGUGCCUUGAUAUGAGUCGCGCUUUUGCCUCACGCAGCGAGUACGCGAUUAUAUCACCCGUCUUAUCUUGAUGUUUGUGUUGGCCUUGCCUCACUUGUUUGAAUGCAGUGCACUAGACCACCACCUUAGGCACUUCCCUCUGUGAUGCUAUCCUCUCUCUCUCCUUUCUCGACAAGUGGAGACCAGCAAGACACGAUGCACCAAUGGUCCACUUCGAUGAGAAGCUGAUACUCAAGGCGCUAACUAUGACGUGCUCAACCAGGCGCGACCGUUAGAAGUUAUGCUUCCCUCAAGAUUGGAAAACUCUCCCUAGAACAGACUAGCCCUCACAAGCUUCCCCAGCUCAAAUUUCUGGUCACGUGUCUAAUACACGGAUUUGACAGAACACCACUUGAGCACCAGUAACCCCUGCUUAGCACCAGGUUCCUUAAGGAACAAGUGAUCACUGUGAACAAGUAGCCUUCAUUCUUAAGCUAGCAACAUAACCCUGAUGCCAUAGGAAGGAUCGUUCUCGGAUAUUGACUAUGGUUUGUUGUGAUGAUGAUAGCUGUCUCGGGGAUAUAGUUAGACUAUCUUGGUGAAACAAGUUCAUAUAGUAGCACAACCUACAUAUACCUGGAGUAAAUUUGGACUCCUUAUGACAAUUAUGAUCUUGAGCUAAAAUCUUGGUGAUACAAUAAAUUGGCUUUGUCGAUUAUUAGUCAUGGUUUGAUGAUGUUACCAUAAUGACUUGGAGUAGCAAGUAAGAGUUUUCAUUGGACUUGAGCUUGUGUUUAAAUAGGUAAUCUCAAUAGAUUAUCAAUGAUGACAAAGACCACACGGAUCAGAGUAAAUCGGACUUGGCCCGACGAUAUCGAUCAUGAUACCAUGUUUCUCGGUGGAUAACAAGUACGAGUAAUUGGAGUUAUAGAAAUAACUUACAAACCUAUAUAAGCCGGCUUCGGAGAUUAGUUGGCCAUGAUAUUUAAAGUUGGUGGAUACAUUAUGACGUAGUCCUGGCGAUAAUAUGUGGAACAUGAGGACUCUAAGUGAUCAUGUAGAACCCCAUCGGUAUUGGAGUUGUAGGAGUGAUGGGUCUAGUGAUGAUCGACUCGAUUGAUGGACCACUUGAUCGGGUUCGUAGAAAGGAAACAAGAUCUUGGACCAGUAUACUGCAUGUUUCCUUAAUAUAGAAAUGCAGUACCAUGUCCAUUGGAUGAUCUAGCUGGACAUUUGGAUUUGUGGUGUCUUAAUUCAAGCUUAGGAGCUUGUAUGCAUCCCCAUGGUUCUUGCAUAGGAAUGCAUGUGCAACGUAGCUAUAUCAUAAUUGUGGUGUUAGUUUUAGUACCUUCCUCAACCUUGUAGUCGACUAGCAUGAGUGGUGUGAAGUUGACUUAUGUUAGAUGGUAUCUUUGAUGAAAUAGGGUGAUUUUUGUCUAGAUUGAGAGGUCAGACUAUUGGCAUCUAAGGAAUGUGUUUAGGAUAAGAUGAUAAAUAUUCACUCACCUCCUUAGUUCCUUGAAACCCCGAAGCUUCACCGAGCCAUAAGGUGAUUGGAUUAUUACCAUAGGAAACGGCUCUAAGUCGUUAGAAUAUGGCCAGUACUCUGCCCGACCAACACCCAUUGUGUCUAUGACGAACAUGGGCAUGAAGGACUAGAUCAUGUUGGACCAUGAACCUCUCGGCCAGUGACCACCAUUAGCAAUUUCCCGUUCUCCUCACAUGUCUCAUGAGCACUAUGCUUAUGUGAUGCCUGAGGAAGUAUGUUCUUAACCCCAUGGAUGCCAUACUUAUCCACCCAACAAGAGGAGGAACACUUUAGUCCUAUUUGGACGAGCCCCAGGAACACCGAUCGCUAUGCCUCUCGGGCAUAAGGUGUUAUCUCAAGAGUAUGGGUUUCUCGAAGUGACCUGAAGACAUCGGAAGUCUAUCCUUCCCAACACAAGGCGAAGAAGCGCAGUGUCUAGGGAAGCCACGACGAUGAAGAAGAAGCAGUAGAAGUCAACCACCGAUCCUGCGCCAACUACAUCAACGAUGUCAAGAAGCAUCGAUGAUUCAAGCUGAUGAAGCCUUUGGACAGCGAGAGAAAUCAGAGAGCUUCUUCUUGGUCCAAACCAAGGACGAGAGUUCAUCUUUGAUCAUGGUGAAAACCUGCUAAAGGUGAUUCAACCGCUUGCUGAGCCACAUAACUUGGGAGUGGAUGAUUGGUCUAUACUCUUGGGUAACUAGCUCAUCCAGGACCCCUCAUGAACCUUCUGAGAUGGUAGAACCUGUUCUAAACACUGAGUCCGUGAGCUUAGAAUCAUGGACGAUACCCAAACCACACAUGUUACCUUGCCACGUAUUCCGACUUUGGGAUACACAUGCAAGUAACACACUUGUGAGAACUUAGUGCACCAAGCCCUUGACCCUCAGUCAAAGCCUAACUUAUUACCAGAACGCAGCUCACUGUUAGGCAGGGACGUGUGGAGCAUUCAAAGCUGUAUCAUCAAGCACCUCAAGAUCCACAACAACAACGUGAGGACGUGAAGAUUGCCUCCAACUUAAAAUUCAGUAUCUCUCCAAUGCCUAGCCUAGAGAUGUCGAGGAUGAGAUUUUAUUAAGAGGGUAAGGUCUGCCACACCCUAUGUUUCACUCUCCUGACUAAAUUAACUUAUUUUAAAAAUUAGGACCAAUUACUUUUUUGUGAAUGCUUGUGAUGCUUGAUGUGAUUGUUUCUUGCUUGCUUGUUGCUUGUAUUUGAAUCAAUGUUCCUUCUAUUCUCUCGACUCACCUCCUUAACCCAAAACUCUUUCCUAAUGAUCAUGCCAUGUGUAUAGGACCAGAAACUAUUUUUACCAAAUACUAUUUUGACCAAAAAGCUUUUAUUUAAUUUGAGCUUUCAAAAACCCCUAAGUUGGGAUUUGUACUACAAGUCCUCAAAUUAGGGAAGUUACUUUGCACCAAAUAAUUUAUUUAAAUCCCAUUAUCAAAAUGACUUUCCAAAACCACAAUAUAAUCAUUUUAAAAGUUAUUUUACCAUUUUAUUUAAAUACCUUUCUCUGAGGCCAGGAAUGGUGCCUUAGGUAGGAAAGUUACUUUUAUUGCUUUCAAAAUAUUUGAGAAAAUUUAGGGAAACUCAGUGGACAUAUUUAUUCCAUAUAUAAGAGUUUCAACACAUGGUCAUGUACCAAAUAUUGGGCAGAACCCUUCAAAACCCUUCGUGCCUAUUUCAAUCUUUUGGAAUAUUUCUGUAAGAAAUAUUCUCAAUAAAUUCCUAUAAAAUUCUAGCAUGUCACAUAUGAUAUAUGUGAUGAUCUUGCCAAGUUUCAUCUCAAUCCAAGUUUAUUUGAUUCACUUAAUUAUUCUAAAACCCUAUCUGUCCAGAUCCAAAUUUGAGCAACUCUACAUUGACAAGUGUCUCCAAUUGUGCUCAAAUUUGGUGGACAUGUUAUGAUACUCCAAUAAUGCAUCCACACCAAGUGGUGCAUCAAGGAGAAUAGAUUAACUUGUCCCAAACCCCUCAAAACCUUCUCUAUUGAUUUCUGACCUUGGGAAACUUUACAUUAUAAAGUUUCUCUAAUUGAUCCCAAACUCUUUGGGCAUGCUUUAAUGCUCAAAUAGUGCCCCCACACCAAGUUGUGGAUUUGUGGUAAUUUAUUUGCAUGGUUUUGUUGGCAGAAAGUCAUUUCUGCCCAUUUCAUGGGUUUUUCAAGUAUACAUUGGAAAGCUUGUCCACCAAAUCCCAAACUUGGUGUCCAAGCUUAGUUUAAUCCAUUAGGUGUUCCUGUUAAGUUUCAUAUCAAUUGGAAUCCAUCUGGUAGCCCUAACAUCCAUCAAAUACCUUGUGUGCAUAUACCAGAAUUGCUACUUUGGCCCCUUCCACUUAUCUCCUUGGGCUUAGAUUUUUAUAACAACCUUCCCUAGUUCCCUUUUACCUCGAGUAACCUUUCCAUGGCCACUGGUCAAUUACUGGAGGAUGACUCCAUGUAUCUACCUCUCAAUUUCUACCUUGGCAACACUGUUUUACCCCUCUUGCUAUACUUCUGCUUAAGCCAAAGCCCCCACAUUCUUCAAGGGCAUCUCUAGCAUGCUAAUGCAUCAUUUCAAAUCAAAAUAUGGCAUGCUCAUGUGGGAAAAAUGAGGAGCACAUCUGAAACUUGAUUUCUGGUAGAAUUGUAGCCUUGCACUUCAAGUACUAGCUAAACUCAUCCCCUUGAGCUGAAACUUUGCAAAACAGUGGUCCUUCCAUGCCUAACACUACUAGGCAUGGUUUCACCCCAUUAUCUCUUCAGUAAGUGCCUUAAUUGUUAGCCUUAAGUUUGCUGCUGCAAACUAAACUGUAGUUAAAACCUAUUCAAAUUAGUCCCAUAUGCAACCAAACUCCAGAGUCAUCUUUCUACAAGCAUGCCUUGCAGUGGGGAUAUCUUUGACUGGUCAUAAGGGCCAUGUAGACAUAGGUGGCCGCGGUGACCACCUCUGUCGCAUGCUGAAACGAUGCUCUACACCUUGGCCUCUUGCUGCAACUCGGGUCCAGCGAGGGAAACGUGUCCCAGAGCGCCACAGUGCCUCCCUUGACCGUCAAACAUCGCUCCCGAACGCUGGCUAGACUCCAAAUCACCCUGGCACACGUGUUUCCCUGUGCCCAGAGUGCACCCGAGGGCAUCCAAGGUCCUCUUCAUCGCCCCUCUGUUCAGAGGCUCCCCAGAGCCCCUCUCGGCUCCUCUAGCCCCUCACUCUCCCCCUAAUACCCCUGUGCCCCCAAUCAAGAUCCCAUACCCUCGUUCCCUUGGCAUGGCCGAAGGAAGUCCGGCAAUCUCGCUCCAAAAUCCAGGCACGCAGUGCAUCUCCUCCCUCUCUAUAGUCGACGACGGACCCCUGCACCUCCGCGGUAUACUCCCUCUCCUCUCCUCCCUCUCCUAGUGGCCGGAGCACCACUCCUGAGGCUUGCUCCAUCGACCGCCCCCGCGGCCAGGCGGCCGACGCUCUCCGGUGCCUUCCAGCAGGGGAGAGUGAUACUUCUCCAACUUGUGUCGUCACUCUCAUAUUGCCAUUACAUGAUCAUAAGAUAGCUAGCGAGAUGUUUCAAUGUCAUACGCCAUGCUAGAUCGUUGCACAUCCCGGUACACUGCCGGAGGCUUUUCCUAUGGAGUCAUCAUCAUUGUGAUCUUUGAGCUGUGAGUAAAUAAAAGUGUGAUGAUCAUCAUUAUUAGAGCAUUGUCCCAUGUCACGGAAAAAAGAGAGGCCAAAGAGCCCAAAAACAAAAAAAGGGAAAAAAGAGAGGCCUAAGAGCCCAAAUGAAAAAAAGAGUGGGAAAAGAGAGAAGGGACAAUGCUACUAUUUUUUCCACACUUGUGCUUCAUGAUAGCACCAUGUUCUUCAUGAUUGAGAGCUUCUUGCUUCAUCACCACCAUAUGCUUGUGGGAAUCUUCAUUAUAUAACUUGGCUUGUAUAUUCCAAUGAUGGGCUUCCUCAAAAUUGCCCUAGGUCUUCGUGAGCAAGCAAGUUGGAUGCACACCCACUAGUUCUCCUUUUGAGCUUUCACAUACUUAUAACUCUAGUGCAUCCUUUUGUAUGGCAAUCCCUACUGAUUCACAUUGAUAUCUAUUAAUGGGCAUCUCCACAGCCUAUUGAUACGCCGAGUCAAUGUGACCAUCUCCUCUUUUUUGUCUCACAACCACCACCACACUCUAUUCCACCCAUAGUGCUAUAUCCAUGGCUUGCGCUCAUGUAUUGCGUGAUAGUUAUAAAAAGUUUGAGAAAGUAAGGGUGCGAAACAAAUUACUUGGCCAAUACCGGGGUUGUGCUUGAUUUACAUUAGUUGUGUGAGGAGGAUGGAGCAUAGCCAGACUAUAUAAUUUUGUAGGGAUAACUUUCUUUGGCCUUGUUAUUUUGAAAGUUCAUGAUUACCUUGCUAGUUUGCUUGAAGUAUUAUUGUUUUCAUGUUCAUAGCAAACUAUUGUUUUGAAUCUUACGGAUCUGAACAUUCAUGUCACGUGAAAGAAGUUGCAAAGGACAACUAUGCUAGGUAGCAUUCCACAUCAAAAAAUCAUUCUUUGUCACUUCCCUACUCGAGGACGAGUAGGAGUUAAGCUUGGGGAUGCUUGAUACGUGUGCAACGUAUCUAUAAUUUUUGAUGGUUUCAUGAUAUUAUCUUGUCAAACUUUGGAUGUUUUGCAUGCCUUUUAUAUAUUUUUUGGGACUAACUUAUUAACUCAGUGCCAAGUGCGAGUUCCUGUUUUUUCCAUGUUUUUGACCCCUUUCAGAGGAGAUUUUGAAACGGAGUCCAAACGGAAGAAAAUCCCCGAAAAGAUUUUUUUCGGAAUGGAAGAAGAUCAGGAAGCUUGGGAGCCAAGGCAGGGGAGCCUAAGGGGCCCCACAAGUCCCCACCUCGCGGCCAGGGGGUAGGCCGCGGCCAACAGGCUUGUGGGCCCCCUGAGCGCCCCCUGACCUAGGGGUUGCGCCUAUAAAUUCCAUAAAAAUCCCCAAAAAAUCAGGAGAUCAUCGAAAUCAUUUUUCCGCCGCCGCAAGCUUCUAUCUCCGCAAGAUCCCAUCUGGUGCAUGUUCUGUUGCCCUGCCGGAGGGGGGAUUCGGACACGGAGGGCUUCUCCAUCAACACCAUUACCUCUCUGAUGAUGCGUGAGUAGUUCACCAUAGACCUGCGGGUCCAUAGCUAGUAACUAGAUGGCUUCUUAUCUCUCUUAGAUCUUCAAUACAAAGUUCUCCAUGAUCUUCAUGGAGAUCUAUCCGAUGUAAUCUUCUUUUGCGGUGUGUUUGUCGAGAUCCGAAGAAUUGUGGAUUUAUGAUCAGAUUAUCUAUGAAUCUUAUUUCAGUUUCUUUUGAUAUCUCUUAUGCAUGAUUUCAUAUCCUGGUAAUUCUUUUCGAGUUGUGGAUUUUGUUUGGCCAACUAGAUCUAUGAUUCUUGCAAUGGGAGAAGUGCUUGGCUUUGGGUUCAUACUGUGCGUUGACCUCACCAAGUGACAGAAGGGGUAGCGAGGCACGCAUCGUGUUGUUGCCAUCAAGGGUAAAAACAUGGGGUUUUCAUCAUUGGUUGGAGAUUAUCCCUCUACAUCAUGUCAUCUUGCUUAAAGCGUUACUCUGUUCGUCAUGAACUCAAUACACUAGAUGCAUGGUGGAUAGCGGUCGAUGUGUGAAGUAAUAGUAUUAGAUGCAGAAAGAAUCGGUCUACUUGUCUCGGACGUGAUGUCUGAUGACCCACAAGUAUAGGGGAUCAAUCGUAGUCCUUUUGAUAAGUAAGAGUGUCGAACCCAACAAGGAGAAGAAGGCUCUGAUAAACGGUUUUCAGCAAGGUAAUAACUGAAAGCACUGAAAGUAGCGGUAACAAGCGAUGGUGUAGUGAGGUGAAGCAUAGCAAGCGAAAAGUAACAAGUAACAAGUAGUAGCAACGGUGCAACAAAGUGGACCAAUCCCUUUUGUAGCAAGGGACAAGCCUGAACAAAGUCUUAUAGGAGGAAAAACGCUCCCGAGGACACACGGGAAUUUCUGUCAUGCUAGUUUCAUCAUGUUCAUAUGAUUCACCUUCGUUCCUUUGAUAGUUUGAUAUGUGGGUGGACCGGCGCUUGGGUACUGCCCUUAAUUGGACAAGCAUCCCAAUUAUGAUUAACCCCUCUUGCAAGCAUCCAGAACUAUGAAAGAAGAAUUAAGACAACGUCUAACCAUAGCAUUAAACUAGUGGAUCCAAAUCAGCCCCUUACGAAGCAACACAUAGACUGGGUUUAAGAUUCUGUCACUCUAGCAACCCAUCAUCUACUUAGUACUCCCCAAUGUCUUCCUCUAGGCCCAAAUAUGGUGAAGGGUUAUGUAGUCGACGUUCACAUAACACCACUAGAGGAAAAGACAACAUACAUCAUAUCAAAAUACCGAACGAAUACCAAAUUCACAUGACUAUUAAUAGCAUGACUUAUCCCAUGUCCUCAGGAACAAAAGUAACUACUCACAAAGCAUAAUCAUAAUAAUGAUCAAAGGUGUAAUGAGUAGCAUCAAGGAUCUAAACAUAAACUCUUUCACCAAGUAAUCCAACUAGCAUCAACUCCAAAGAGUAAUCAACACUACUAGCAACCUUACAAGUACCAAUCGGAGUCGCGAGACGGAGAUUGGUUACAAGAGCUGAACUAGGGUUUGGAGAGGAGAUGGUGCUGAUGAAGAUGUUGAUGGAGAUGACUCCCCUCCAACGAGAGGAGUGUUGGUGAUGACGAUGGCAACGAUUUCCCCUCCAAGAGGAAAGUUUCCCCGACAGGAUCGUCCUGCCGGAGCUCUAGAUUGGUUCUCCUCAAGUUCCGCCUCGUGGCGGCGGAGAAUCCAGGAAAAAGCUCCACCCUGAUUUUUUCCGGAUGAAACCCUUCAUAUAGAAAAAGAGGGGGGUCAGUGGGCCACCAUGGUGCCCACAAGCCCUGUAGCCGCGGCCAGGGGGCAGGCGACGGCUACUAGGCUUGUGGGCCCCUGGUAGCUCCCCUCUAGCACUUCGUUCGCCCAGUAUUUUUUAUAUAUUCCCAAAAAAUUCCAAGUUGAUUUUCAUGACAUUUGGAGUUACGCAGAAUAGAGGACUCAGACUUGCUCCUUUUCCAGUCCAGAAUUCCAGCUGCCGGUAUUGUCCCUCUUCAAAUAAACCUUGCAAAAUAAGAGAGAAAAGGCAUAAGUACGGUACCACAAAGUAUAAUAACAGUCCAUAAAGCGAUAAAUAUCAACAUGAAAGCAUGAUGCAAAAUGGACGUAUCAACUCCCCCAAGCUUAGACCUCGCUUGUCCUCAAGCGAAAACCAAGAUCCAUAAACAUGUCCACAUGUUUAGGGAUGAAGGUGUCGAUAAAACAUAAUACGGACAUGAGGGCAUCAUGAUCACACAUAGAACGACAAUACAUCAUAACAAUUCUUAUGGGAAUGUAACAAUUCCUUCACAAAGCAAAGCAUGAAACAAAAACCUUACCGAGAAGUAGCCAACAACAAUCCGUAGUCAUUUAAGCAAUUGCAAUUUAUCAUAACAUCAGAAAGAGUCAAAUAAGAGCUUGUAAAGCAAACCCACAUACUCAAUGAUCUCUUUUGUUUUCCACAAUUGUUACAACUCACGUGGUACCCAUGGUAUCAAAGUUUCAGCUGGACACAGAGAAACAUAGGGGCUUAUAAUUUUGCCUCCCAACCAUUUACCUCAAGGGUAAGGUCAACAAUAAUAAAGCAUAAGUACUCAUCUCCAAGUUGAUAUAUGAAUAUAGAUCUUUCCCUAGCUUGUGACGGUAGCCAAGACAAAGGCAAAAUAAGGAAUUGGUGAAGAUCACCAUGACUCUUUCAAGGGAAAAAGGUGCAAGAUAGGACCUUCGCAGAUGGAAGAAAAGGUUGUCAUGCACUUUGAGGUUUGGAUGCGUGUCCUCUUAGUGCGGAGGAACGUCACUUUAUAUUGCCUCCUGUGAUAAAGAACUUUAUUAUGCAGUCGGUCGCUUUUAUGUCUUCCUCAUCACAGGUUCGUAUAAAGCUUAUUUUCCACACACUAAUAGAUCAUACAUAUUAGAGAGCAAUUUUUAUUGCUUGCACCGAUGACAACUUACUUGAGGGAUAUUAUUCAAUCCAUAGGCAGGUAUGGUGGACUCUCAUGGAAAAACUGGGUUGGAGGUUUAUGGAUGCACAAGUAGUAUCUCUACUUGGUGCGGGAGUUUUGGCUAAUAUGAGGUGGAAGCAAUCGUCACAUGCUAAGGAUCUCUAUUCAUAUAGCAUUGUUUCGAAACAAGCAAACACAAUUCAUUAUGUUGUCUUCCUUGUCCAACAUCUACUUCUAAGCAUGUAAUAGUUUGGUGAGUGCUCACAAUUAUAGAAAGUGUCUAAGAUGGUAUAUUUAUAUGUGAACCUCUCUUUCCUUAUUACUUCUUAUUAAUUGCAACAAUGACUGGGGUGUAUGUUGGUCUAUCCUCAACAAGUGUCAAUCAUCAUACUAGUUAUAUGUGAAGCUAUCACUUUCUAUAAUAUCAUCUCAUGAUCUUUCAUGCUAUCGUUCUUUUCAUACUUUUGAUCACGGCACAAAAUAAAGCCCUUGACUAAGAUACUCUUUAUUAUAUAGCUUGCAAGCUCGAAUACAUCAGGG